GUGCCAGCCGCCGCGGUAAUACGAAGGGUGCUAGCGUUGUUCGGAAUCAUUGGGCGUAAAGCGUGCGUAGGCGGCUUGGCAAGUCAAGUGUGAAAUCCCGGGGCUUAACCUCGGAAUUGCGCUUGAAACUGCUUUGCUAGAGUAUGAAGAGGGAUAGUGGAAUUCCUAGUGUAGGGGUGAAAUCCGUAGAUAUUAGGAGGAACACCGGUGGCGAAAGCGACUAUCUAUAUCAUUACUGACGCUGUUGCACGAAAGCGUGGGGAGCAAACAGGAUUAGAAACCCGAGUAGUCC
rnacentral:rRNA from 1 species